GAUGAACGCUGGCGGCGUGCCUAACACAUGCAAGUCGAACGAAGCAAUUAGAAUGAAGUUUUCGGAUGGAUUUUUAAUUGACUGAGUGGCGGACGGGUGAGUAAACGCGUGGAUAACCUGCCUCACACUGGGGGAUAACAGUUAGAAAUGACUGCUAAUACCGCAUAAAGCGCACGCUACCGCAUGGUAGCGUGUGAAAAAACUCCCGGUGGUGUGAGAAUGGAAUCCGCGUCUGAUUAGGCCAGUUGGCGGGGUAACGGCCCACCAAAGCGACGAUCAGUAGCCGACCUGAGAGGGUG
rnacentral:rRNA from 1 species